rnacentral:rRNA from 1 species
GUUGUAUAGUCAAGUAAUUAAGUGCAUGUGGUGGAUGCCUUGGCAGUCAGAGGCGAUGAAAGACGUGAUAGCCUGCGAAAAGCUCCGGGGAGGCGGCAAAUAUCCUUUGAUCCGGAGAUGUCUGAAUGGGGGAACCCACCUACUUUAAGGUAGGUAUUGCAACAUGAAUACAUAGUGUUGCAAGGCGAACGAGGGGAAGUGAAACAUCUCAGUACCCUUAGGAAAAGAAAUCAAUUGAGAUUCCCUCAGUAGCGGCGAGCGAACGGGGAUCAGCCCAUUAAGUUAUGUGUGUUUUAGUGGAACGCUCUGGGAAGUGCGAACGUAGAGGGUGAUAUUCCCGUACACGAAAGGGCACACAUAAUGAUGACGAGUAGGGCGAGGCACGUGAAACCUUGUCUGAAUAUGGGGGGACCAUCCUCCAAGGCUAAAUACUCCUGACUGACCGAUAGUGAACCAGUACCGUGAGGGAAAGGCGAAAAGAACCCCUGUGAGGGGAGUGAAAUAGAUCCUGAAACCGCAUGCAUACAAGCAGUGGGAGCACCUUCGUGGUGUGACUGCGUACCUUUUGUAUAAUGGGUCAGCGACUUAUAUUCAGUAGCGAGGUUAACCGUAUAGGGGAGCCGUAGAGAAAUCGAGUCUUAAUAGGGCGUUUAGUUGCUGGGUAUAGACCCGAAACCAGGCGAUCUAUCCAUGAGCAGGUUGAAGGUUGGGUAACACUAACUGGAGGACCGAACCCACUGUCGUUGAAAAGCCAGGGGAUGACUUGUGGAUAGGGGUGAAAGGCUAAUCAAGCCUGGUGAUAGCUGGUUCUCCCCGAAAGCUAUUUAGGUAGCGCCUCGGACGAAUACCAUAGGGGGUAGAGCACUGUUUCGGCUAGGGGGUCAUCCCGACUUACCAAACCGAUGCAAACUCCGAAUACCUAUGAGUACUAUCCGGGAGACAGACUGCGGGUGCUAACGUCCGUAGUCAAGAGGAAAACAAUCCAGACCGCCAGCUAAGGCCCCAAAAUCAUAGUUAAGUGGGAAACGAUGUGGGAAGGCAUAGACAGCUAGGAGGUUGGCUUANNNNNNGAAGCAGCCACCCUUUAAAGAAAGCGUAAUAGCUCACUAGUCGAGUCGGCCUGCGCGGAAGAUGUAACGGGGCUAAAACUAUGUGCCGAAGCUGCGGAUGUAUACUUUGUAUACGUGGUAGGGGAGCGUUCUGUAAGCCGAUGAAGGUGUGUUGAGAAGCAUGCUGGAGGUAUCAGAAGUGCGAAUGCUGACGUGAGUAACGACAAAACGGGUGAAAAACCCGUUCGCCGAAAGACCAAGGGUUCCAGUCCAACGUUAA